rnacentral:rRNA from 1 species
UACGUAGGGUGCGAGCGUUAGUCGGAAUUACUGGGCGUAAAGCGUGCGCAGGCGGUGAUGUAAGACAGUUGUGAAAUCCCCGGGCUCAACCUGGGAACUGCAUCUGUGACUGCAUCGCUGGAGUGCGGCAGAGGGGGAUGGAAUUCCGCGUGUAGCAGUGAAAUGCGUAGAUAUGCGGAGGAACACCGAUGGCGAAGGCAAUCCCCUGGGCCUGCACUGACGCUCAUGCACGAAAGCGUGGGGAGCAAACAGG